rnacentral:lncRNA from 1 species
AGGUAUCCUUGGGAGAUCAUCCAAAAAGAUAUCAAAAAACUCAUUAACAACGUUAACAAACUGGAGCGUUGGAUUCUCAGACUUAGUAUCUUUGAAUCUAACCAAAUGUUAAUUAAACCCCUUGGAAAUAAGCUUUCUAGCUUUGAGGUAAGAGAUAAAAUGACUCUUAGGUGACAUAGAAUUCCUAGACCACUCAAACACGGAUGCACCCAAAAACUGAAACUUGACCACUCGAG